UACGUAGGGUGCGAGCGUUGUCCGGAAUUACUGGGCGUAAAGAGCUCGUAGGCGGUUUGUCGCGUUGUCCGUGAAAACUCACAACUCAAUUGUGGGCGUGCGGGCGAUACGGGCAGACUGGAGUACUGCAGGGGAGACUGGAAUUCCUGGUGUAGCGGUGGAAUGCGCAGAUAUCAGGAGGAACACCGGUGGCGAAGGCGGGUCUCUGGGCAGUAACUGACGCUGAGGAGCGAAAGCGUGGGGAGCAAACAGG
rnacentral:rRNA from 1 species